rnacentral:rRNA from 1 species
UGAGGGAAAGGCGAAAAGAACCCCUGUGAGGGGAGUGAAAUAGAACCUGAAACCGUAUACGUACAAGCAGUGGGAGCGGUUCUUGAGACCGUGACUGCGUACCUUUUGUAUAAUGGGUCAGCGACUUACAUUUUGUAGCGAGGUUAAGCGAAUAGCGGAGCCGUAGGGAAACCGAGUGUUAACUGCGCGUUUAGUUGCAAGGUGUAGACCCGAAACCCGGUGAUCUAUCCAUGGGCAGGUUGAAGAUUGAGUAACAUCAAUUGGAGGACCGAACCGACUUAUGUUGAAAAAUGAGCGGAUGACUUGUGGAUGGGGGUGAAAGGCCAAUCAAACCGGGAGAUAUCUGGUUCUCCUCGAAAGCUAUUUAGGUAGCGCCUCGAGCGAAUACCAUUGGGGGUAGAGCACUGUUAAGGCUAGGGGGUCAUCCCGACUUACCAACCCUUUGCAAACUCCGAAUACCAAUGAGUACUACUCGGGAGACACACGGCGGGUGCUAACGUCCGUCGUGAAAAGGGAAACAACCCAGACCGUCAGCUAAGGUCCCAAAGUUAUUGCUAAGUGGGAAACGAUGUGGGAAGGCUUAGACAGCUAGGAUGUUGGCUUAGAAGCAGCCAUCAUUUAAAGAAAGCGUAAUAGCUCACUAGUCGAGUCGGCCUGCGCGGAAGAUUUAACGGGGCUAAGCAAUACACCGAAGCUACGGGUGUGCACUUUAGGGUGUACGCGGUAGAGGAGCGUUCUGUAAGCCGUUGAAGGUGAAGGGGUAACCCACGCUGGAGGUAUCAGAAGUGCGAAUGCUGACAUGAGUAACGAUAAAGGGAGUGAAAAACUCCCUCGCCGAAAGACCAAGGGUUCCUGUCCAAUGUUAAUCAGGGCAGGGUGAGUCGACCCCUAAGGCGAGGCCGAAAGGCGUAGUCGAUGGGAAAUGGGUUAAUAUUCCCAUACUUCUGCUAACUGCGAUGGAGAGACGGAGAAGGCUAGGCUAGCGCGGCGUUGGUAGUCCGCGUUUAAGGUGGUAGGCAGUAAACUUAGGCAAAUCCGGGUUUACGCAUUUAAUUGCAAUGCUGAGAGCUGAUGACGAGUCACUAAGGUGAUGAAGUAGUUGAUGCCAUGCUUCCAGGAAAAUCUUCUAAGCUUCAGGUUAGUAGGAAUCGUACCCCAAACCGACACAGGUGGUUGGGUAGAGAAUACCAAGGCGCUUGAGAGAACUCGGCUGAAGGAACUAGGCAAAAUGGUACCGUAACUUCGGGAGAAGGUACGCUCCCGACGGUGAUGAGACUUGCUCUCUAAGCUGUUGGGAGUCGCAGAUACCAGGUGGCUGCAACUGUUUAUCAAAAACACAGUACUGUGCAAACUCGCAAGAGGAAGUAUACGGUAUGACGCCUGCCCGGUGCCGGAAGGUUAAUUGAUUGGGUUAUCUUCGGAGAAGCUCAUGAUCGAAGCCCCGGUAAACGGCGGCCGUAACAAUAACGGUCCUAAGGUAGCGAAAUUCCUUGUCGGGUAAGUUCCGACCUGCACGAA